GCCAGGUUUUUUUACUAAAUUACAGGCUACGUGGUGCAAGUCAGCAUCUCUGCGAGCGUCCUCCAGGACCUGAGAACCACAGAGACGUAACAGAGAGGUCCUGAAGACAAAAUAGCUAAAUGAUUGUCAGCAAGACCAGGCAAUCCUGUGAACUAAAUGGGGGAAAUGCCUAAAAGCUGUGACUCCUUACUCACCUUCCUGGCUUGUUCUUGUAAAUGUUGGAUUUGCUCAGCUAUGACUGUCAGCUUGUUGGUGGCAUUUGCUCGGAUGAAUUCGUCAGCCUACAGCCUCUCCACAGCAGUCAGCUCCCACCCGGCCCAAAGAGCCCUGCUCACGAGAAGCCCACGCUGCCAGGACCCCACACCGCAGGACUGAGUCCUUCUUUUCUACGUCCCAGCGCUUUCUACCCUCUGGAUUCCAGUCGCUCGGAACUGCUUCAGCCCUCCAACAUGCUCUGCUCUCACAUGCUACCACACGCACGAAUGUGCCCUCUCCUCAACAAAAAGGCUUCCCUCUUACUCUUUGCCCGAGUAAACCAGCUCUCCAUUUA